CCUACGGGAGGCAGCAGUGAGGAAUAUUGGUCAAUGGGCGGAAGCCUGACCCAGCAACGCCGCGUGAAGGAAGAAGGCUUUCGGGUUGUAAACUUCUUUUCUCAGGGACGAAGCAAGUGACGGUACCUGAGGAAUAAGCCACUGCUAACUACGUGCCAGCAGCCGCGGUAAUACGUAGGUGGCAAGCGUUAUCCGGAUGUACUGGGUGUAAAGGGCGUGUAGGCGGGACUGCAAGGCAGAUGUGAAAACCACGGGCUCAACCUGUGGCCUGCAUUUGAAACUGUAGUUCUUGAGUGCUGGAGAGGCAGACGGAAUUCCUAGUGUAGCGGUGAAAUGCGUAGAUAUUAGGAGGAACACCAGUGGCGAAGGCGGUCUGCUGGACAGCAACUGACGCUGAGGCGCGAAAGCGUGGGGAGCAAACAGGAUUAGAUACCCCAGUAGUC
rnacentral:rRNA from 1 species